rnacentral:rRNA from 1 species
AGAGUUUGAUCAUGGCUCAGAUUGAACGCUGGCGGUAUGCCUGACACAUGCAAGUCGAACGAGGUAGCAAUACCUAGUGGCGGACGGGUGAGGAAUACGUAGGGAUCUGCCCUUAAGUGGGGGAUAACCCGGGGAAACCCGGAUUAAUACCGCAUGAUCUCGCAAGAGCAAAGAGGGGGACCGCAAGGCCUCUCGCUUUUGGAGGAACCUACGUCGGAUUAGCUAGUUGGUGAGGUAAUGGCUCACCAAGGCGACGAUCCGUAACUGGUCUGAGAGGAUGAUCAGUCACGCCGGAACUGAGACACGGUCCGGACUCCUACGGGAGGCAGCAGUGGGGAAUAUUGGACAAUGGGCGAAAGCCUGAUCCAGCAAUACCGCGUGUGUGAAGAAGGCCUUCGGGUUGUAAAGCACUUUAAGUUGGGAAGAAAAAGCUUCACCUAAUACGUGAAGCCUUGACGGUACCGACAGAAUAAGCACCGGCUAACUCUGUGCCAGCAGCCGCGGUAAUACAGAGGGUGCUAGCGUUAAUCGGAUUUACUGGGCGUAAAGCGUGCGUAGGUGGUUUGAUAAGUCGAUUGUGAAAGCCCCGGGCUUAACCUGGGAAUUGCGGUCGAUACUGUCAGACUCGAAAACGGUAGGGGGAGGUGGAACUCCAGGUGUAGCGGUGAAAUGCGUAGAUAUCUGGAAGAACACCGAUGGCGAAGGCAGCUUCCUGGGCCUGUUUUGACACUGAGGCACGAAAGCGUGGGUAGCAAACAGGAUUAGAUACCCCGGUAGUCC